rnacentral:rRNA from 1 species
UACGAAGGGGGCUAGCGUUGCUCGGAAUCACUGGGCGUAAAGGGUGCGUAGGCGGGUCUUUAAGUCAGGGGUGAAAUCCUGGAGCUCAACUCCAGAACUGCCUUUGAUACUGAAGAUCUUGAGUUCGGGAGAGGUGAGUGGAACUGCGAGUGUAGAGGUGAAAUUCGUAGAUAUUCGCAAGAACACCAGUGGCGAAGGCGGCUCACGGGCCCGAUACUGACGCUGAGGCGCGAAAGCGUGGGGAGCAAACAGG